AUUGAUGAUCUUUUUUGCUGUCUGGUCAGUUGCAACUUGGGUUGCUGCAACGCACUUGUUGCACAGCCAACAUCACUCAGUCUUACUCCACCCAACCUCUACCUGUACCUCUACCUCUGCUCCACCUAACCCCACAACAUCCGCGGCUGUCCGCUCAACCCAAAAGCAACUUGCGUUGUGUAAAGUUCAUGGGUCGCCGGG
rnacentral:lncRNA from 1 species